rnacentral:rRNA from 1 species
AGGGAUUGCCUCAGUAACGGCGAGUGAAGCGGCAACAGCUCAAAUUUGAAAUCUGGCUCUUUCAGGGUCCGAGUUGUAAUUUGUAGAAGAUGCUUCGGGUGUGGUUCCGGUCUAAGUUCCUUGGAACAGGACGUCAUAGAGGGUGAGAAUCCCGUAUGUGACCGGCUACCUUCGCUCAUGUGAAGCUCUUUCGACGAGUCGAGUUGUUUGGGAAUGCAGCUCAAAAUGGGUGGUAAAUUUCAUCUAAAGCUAAAUAUUGGCCAGAGACCGAUAGCGCACAAGUAGAGUGAUCGAAAGAUGAAAAGCACUUUGGAAAGAGAGUUAAAUAGUACGUGAAAUUGUUGAAAGGGAAGCGCUUGCAAUCAGACUUGCACGCAGUUGAUCAUCCGGUGUUCUCACCGGUGCACUCUGCUGCGUUCAGGCCAGCAUCGGUUUUGGUGGUUGGAUAAAGGCCUUGGGAAUGUGGCUCCUCUCGGGGAGUGUUAUAGCCCUCGGUGCAAUGCAGCCUACCGGGACCGAGGACCGCGCUUCGGCUAGGAUGCUGGCGUAAUGGUUGUAAGCGACCCGUCUUGAAACACGGACCAAGGAGUCUAACAUCUAUGCGAGUGUUUGGGUGUCAAACCCAUACGCGUAAUGAAAGUGAACGGAGGUGAGAACCCUUAAGGGUGCAUCAUCGACCGAUCCUGAUGUCUUCGGAUGGAUUUGAGUAAGAGCAUAGCUGUUGGGACCCGAAAGAUGGUGAACUAUGCGUGAAUAGGGUGAAGCCAGAGGAAACUCUGGUGGAGGCUCGCAGCGGUUCUGACGUGCAAAUCGAUCGUCAAAUUUGCGCAUAGGGGCGAAAGACUAAUCGAACCAUCUAGUAGCUGGUU